CACGUAGUUAGCCGGGGCUUCUUAGUCAGGUACCGUCCUCCUUCUUCCCUGCCGAUAGGGCUUUACGCGCCGAAACGCUCCUUCACCCACGCGGCGUCGCUGCAUCAGGGUUCCCCCCAUUGUGCAAUAUCCCCCACUGCUGCCUCCCGUAGGAGUCUGGGCCGUGUCUCAGUCCCAGUGUGGCCGUCCGCCCUCUCAGGCCGGCUACUGAUCGUCGCCUUGGUAGGCCGUUACCCUGCCAACCAGCUAAUCAGACGCGGGCCCAUCCUGUACCACCGGAGUUUUCAGGGGGGUGCCAUGCGGCUCCCCCCGUUAUGCGGUAUUAGCACCUAUUUCUAAGUGUUGUCCCCCUGUACAGGGCAGGUUGCCCACGCGUUACUCACCCGUCCGCCACUCAUGCACGGGGCUUCCGGCCGGAGCCUUCCAUCCCGUACACCCGUUCGACUUGCAUGUGUUAGGCACGCCGCCAGCGUUCAUCCUGAGCCAGGAUCAAACUCU
rnacentral:rRNA from 1 species